AUUGAACGCUGGCGGCAUGCCUUACACAUGCAAGUCGAACGGCAGCACGGGAGCAAUCCUGGUGGCGAGUGGCGAACGGGUGAGUAAUAUAUCGGAACGUGCCCAGUCGUGGGGAUAACGUAGCGAAAGCUACGCUAAUACCGCAUACGAUCUACGGAUGAAAGCGGGGGAUCGCAAGACCUCGCGCGAUUGGAGCGGCCGAUAUCAGAUUAGGUAGUUGGUGAGGUAAAGGCUCACCAAGCCGACGAUCUGUAGCUGGUCUGAGAGGACGACCAGCCACACUGGGACUGAGACACGGCCCAGACUCCUACGGGAGGCAGCAGUGGGGAAUUUUGGGACAAUGGGCGCAAGCCUGAUCCAGCAAUGCCGCGUGCAGGAUGAA
rnacentral:rRNA from 1 species